CCUACGGGAGGCAGCAGUGAGGAAUAUUGGUCAAUGGACGAGAGUCUGAACCAGCCAAGUAGCGUGAAGGAUGACUGCCCUAUGGUUUGUAAACUUCUUUUAUAAAGGAAUAAAACGAGGCACGUGUGCCUUUUUGCAUGUACUUUAUGAAUAAGGAUCGGCUAACUCCGUGCCAGCAGCCGCGGUAAUACGGAGGAUCCGAGCGUUAUCCGGAUUUAUUGGGUUGAAAGGGAGCGUAGAUGGGUUGUUAAGUCAGUUGUGAAAGUUUGCGGCUCAACCGUAAAAUUGCAAUUGAUACUGGCAGUCUUGAGUACAGUUGAGGUAAGUGGAAUUCGUGGUGUAGCGGUGAAAUGCUUAGAUAUCACGAAGAACCCCGAUUGCGAAGGCAGCUUACUAAACUGUGACUGACAUUGAUGCUCGAAAGUGUGGGGAUCAAACAGGAUUAGAUACCCCAGUAGUC
rnacentral:rRNA from 1 species